AUUGAACGCUGGCGGCAGGCCUAACACAUGCAAGUCGAGCGGAGCGGCGGACGGGUGAGUAAUGCAUCGGAAUCUGCCUGGUAGUGGGGGAUAACGUACGGAAACGGACGCUAAUACCGCAUACUAUCAGAAGAGCCUAGGUCGGAUUAGCUAGUUGGUGGGGUAAGGGCCUACCAAGGCGACGAUCCGUAACUGGUCUGAGAGGAUGAUCAGCCACACUGGGACUGAGACACGGUCCAGACUCCUACGGGAGGCAGCAGUGGGGAAUAUUGGACAAUGGGCGAAAGCCUGAUGCAGCCAUGCCGCGUGUAUGAAGAAGGUCUUAGGAUUGUAAAGUACUUUCAGUUGGGAGGCGUUACCGACAGAAGAAGCACCGGCUAACUUCGUGCCAGCCGCCGCGGUAAUAC
rnacentral:rRNA from 1 species